GAUGAACGCUGGCGGCGUGCCUAAUACAUGCCAGUCGAGCGAACAGACGAGGAGUUUGCUCCUCUGACGUUAGCGGCGGACGGGUGAGUAACACGUGGAUAACCUACCUAUAAGACUGGGAUAACUUCGGGAAACCGGAGCUAAUACCGGAUAAUAUAUUGAACCGCAUGGUUCAAUAGUGAAAGACGGUUUUGCUGUCACUUAUAGAUGGAUCCGCGCCGCAUUAGCUAGUUGGUAAGGUAACGGCUUACCAAGGCAACGAUGCGUAGCCGACCUGAGAGGGUGAUCAGCCACACUGGAACUGAGACACGGUCCAGACUCCUACGGGAGGCAGCAGUGGGGAAUCUUCCACAAUGGGCGCAAGCCUGACGGAGCAACGCCGCGUGAGUGAUGAAGGUCUUCGGAUCGUAAAACUCUGUUAUUAGGGAAGAACAAAUGUGUAAGUAACUAUGCACGUCUUGACGGUACCUAAUCAGAAAGCCACGGCUAACUACGUG
rnacentral:rRNA from 1 species